rnacentral:ncRNA from 2 species
AAUUACAUUGUAUAACACACUCAUAUAAUGCCGAAAAUAAGGUUCGGAAGUUUCUACCGGAUGACCGUAAAUCAUCUGACUAUGGGUGAAAUUAUUAUAGGA